ACGGCCAUAACAUGCUUAAUAUACCGGUUCCCGUUAGAUCACCGACGUCAAGCAUAUGGGACGUGGUCAGUACUUGAGAGGGUGACCCCCUGGGAACCCCGCGUGCCGUU